UACGUAGGGAGCGAGCGUUAUCCGGAUUUAUUGGGUGUAAAGGGUGCGUAGGCGUUCUAUUAAGUAUAAAAUCAAAGCCUGGGGCUUAACUCCAGAUCGUUUUAUAAACUGAUAGAAUUGAGUAUGGUAGAGGUAAAUGGAAUUUCUAGUGUAGCGGUGGAAUGCAUAGAUAUUAGAAGGAACACCAGUGGCGAAGGCGAUUUACUGGGCCAUUACUGACGCUGAGGCACGAAAGCAUGGGGAGCAAAUAGG
rnacentral:rRNA from 1 species